rnacentral:rRNA from 1 species
AUGUUUGACGGAGUUGAGCGGAUGCUUCGGGGAGUCAGGCAUGUGCCGGGGCUAAGGAGGAAUCUAAUUUCGCUUGGUGUUCUUCAUGAUGGUGGUAUGGUAUUCCGUUGUGAUCGGGAUAGGAAGACCAUGAGAAUCAUGGAAGAUGAGGUGACCGUGAUGAUUGGAGGGAGGACGGCUUCGCAUCUUUACAAGUUGCAAGGUAGCACUAUUGCAGGUGGAGUCACGGAGACUGGAGUUGCGGGAGUAGCAGCGGGGUCUCACGGCGGCGGCGGGUCUGGGGCAGACUCGUCGAGUAGCUCUCAGUAA